GAGAGUCGAUAACACCCGAAGCCUGUGAGCUAACCGCAAGGAGGCAGCAGUCGAAGGUGGGGUUGAUGAUUGGGUGAAGUCGUAACAAGGUAGC
rnacentral:rRNA from 1 species